AUCUAAAUGAAAAAAAAACCAAAAAACUAUGCAGAUAAUAAUUGUAGGGCUUUUUUUUACAUUUGACCCUCUCAAAAUAUUUUUCUUUACAAAUAACCCCCAUCAAAUUUAUAAUUACAAAUUUGGCUCUAUCUCCGCCACGUGGGCGCCACAUCAGGGGCAUGGUGUUAAGUUGAACACGGUGAAUGGUUCACCGUGUUUUAUACAUAUAUUCCCCUUCUUUCCCCUUUUCAAUAUUUAUAAUUUUUCGCAAUACAAUACAUAUAUACUAUAUUUUUUCCAAACACGGUGAACCAUUCACCGUGUUUAGACACGUUGAAUGAUUCACCGUGUUCAACUUAACAAACUGACCCCAACCCCGCUGACGUGGCGCUUGCGUGGCAGGACUAGGACAAUUUUUACGAAUAUAAAUUUGUUGAAAUUAUUUUUAAAAUAAAUUUUUUUGAGGGGCCAAAUGCAAAAAAAAAAAACCCUAACUGUAUUUUCCAAUCAAUAUAGGCUCUAAACUGCUAAAGAUAAUUUGUGAUUUGUCAGUUCCAUUUUCAGUUUAAUAGGAAGCACUUUGGGUGGAAUCACUGUUUCUCACAUCCUCUACACUGCCACCAUGAUGAGAGCCCUUUAAUCCCUUCAAAUUGAAAGCCCUGUUCCCUAUUAACUUGACAGAACCCCUCAUGCUACAGCUUUGUGAAAGAACUUGAUGUACUUUUUACUACUGUCAAACAGUAAAAAAGGCAUUAAAAAGAACACCAAUUACUCACAGUAGAAGCUAAACACACCCACCAAAGAGAAUCUGUACCUACCACAAAUAAAUGUGUUCAAAUGAAAAGGUACAAUGCAUGAAUAGUCUCUGUACUGUCCCAAUAUGGUGUGACUUGAUCCUUGCACUUUUCACUUAAACAUGCUAGCUGUUAACAUUUACAUAUCUUAUUACAUUCAUUCUAGUCACUGAAUCACAAUCAAACCAUUAGGUG
rnacentral:lncRNA from 1 species